AAAUGCCAUCUGGUAUCUGACACUUAGUCAUUUUUUGUGAUUCUGUGUCUUGAAACAUGGCUGAAAAUGAGGGGGAAUGGAAUUUUGCGACACUUGCUGCUCCUAAUGACCCUCCUAGUUACUAUAUACCCAUUUACAUUA
rnacentral:snoRNA from 1 species